rnacentral:rRNA from 1 species
GUGGGGAAUCUUGCGCAAUGGGCGAAAGCCUGACGCAGCCAUGCCGCGUGAAUGAUGAAGGUCUUAGGAUUGUAAAGCUCUUUCACCGGGGACGAUAAUGACGGUACCCGGAGAAGAAGCUCCGGCUAACUUCGUGCCAGCAGCCGCGGUAAUACGAAGGGGGCUAGCGUUGCUCGGAAUUACUGGGCGUAAAGGGCGCGUAGGCGGACAGCUUAGUCAGAGGUGAAAGCCCAGGGCUCAACCUUGGAAUUGCCUUUGAUACUGGCUGUCUUGAGUUUGGGAGAGGUGAGUGGAACUCCGAGUGUAGAGGUGAAAUUCGUAGAUAUUCGGAAGAACACCAGUGGCGAAGGCGACUCACUGGCCCAAUACUGACGCUGAGGCGCGAAAGCGUGGGGAGCAAACAGGAUUAGAUACCCUGGUAGUCC